rnacentral:rRNA from 1 species
UUAGCCCUAAACCUCAGUAGUUAGAACAACAAAACUACUCGCCAGAAUACUACAAGCAAUGGCUUGAAACUCAAAGGACUUGGCGGUGCUUCACACCCCCCUAGAGGAGCCUGUCCCGUAAUCGAUAAACCCCGAUCCACCCUACCCUCUCUUGCUUAGCCUAUAUACCGCCAUCUUCAGCAAACCCUGAUAAAGGUUACAAAGUGAGCGCAAAUGUCCCUUUCACAAAAACGUUAGGUCAAGGUGUAGCCCAUGAGAUGGUAAAAGAUGGGCUACAUUUUCUACUUCAGAAAACCCUACGAUAACUCUUAUGAAAUCUAAGAGCCCAAGGAGGAUUUAGCAGUAAAUUAAGAAUAGAGUGCUUAAUUGAACUAGGCCAUAAAGCACGC